UGAGAAGCUUCUUAUCAGUGAUUUCAUCCCCAACGGCAACUUGGCUAAUGCUCUUCGAGGGAGAAGUGGUCAGCCAUCACCGAGUCUCUCAUGGGCAACCAGGCUGAAAAUUGCCAAGGCAACAGCCAAGGGCUUAGCCUACCUUCAUGAAUGCGUCCAAGAAAAUUCGUCCACGGGAGCAUCAAACCAUCCAACAUCCUCCUCGACAAUGAGUACCAGGCUUAUAUUUCUGAUUUUGGCCUUAGC
rnacentral:misc_RNA from 1 species